UCGAUUAAAAACGGGGGCGCUCGCGUCCCGUCAGUACCCUUUGCUUAUGCGUACCCUUUGUUGCUUCCUCGGUGGGGACGCCCGCCGGUGGAUAGCCCUUUUAAACCCUUUUGCAGUUGCAAUCAACUUCUGAUAUGAUAUAAAUUUAGUCA
rnacentral:misc_RNA from 1 species